AGUGAACCACAGCCAACCCCUGCCUCAGCAGGAGACCCUCCAGCGCUAGCAGGUUGCAUGACACGGAGAAAGGUCACACUCAGAAAGAAGAGACCAGACAGAGACUCUUGCUGGUAGAACACAGAUCUCUCCUUUUCAGCUAUUCUCUCCAAUGUCCAGGAACAACAUAACCCUGGAGCACGUGACUACACUGAUACACCUGCCACCCUGUAUGUACACGUGACCAAACUGCCUGCAACACCCCACCCUCUCUCCUUGCUACCUUGUUCCCACUGCAAUUGCAACUCUACUCUGACUAGGAUGCGUUCAAACCACACAGAGAAACAGCUUCACAGCCAGCCCUAAGUCUGACCCCUUAGAUAAGUGAGUAGUUCUCCACUUCAGCUGAGUUUUGUCUGGGUUUGAAUGUAAAAGUCACCAGGGCUUUCCUGGUAGCGCAGUGGUUAAGAAUCUGCCUGCCAAUGCAUGGGACAUGGGUUCAAUCCCUGGUCCAGGAAGA